UCACAAUAAGUUAGUAUAUAAAUUAUUAUAUAAAAUUAUUUUAAUAAAUUGGAUAACUAUCGAUAUUUCGUUUGCAGCAUUUAACCAUGAAACUAAAGAGCUUCCCUCAAAGUUGCAAGUUCCUUAGGACAAAUGGAAAAUUAAACUGGGAUGUCAUUUUAUGAGGAAAGGAUAGAAAAUGAACCAGAAAUCAUUUAACCAUGAAACUAAAGAGCUUUCUACAAAGUUGUAAGUUCCUUAGGACAAAUGAAAACUGGGAUGUCAUUUUAUGAGGAAAGGAAAUGAAAUGAAUCAGAAAUGUAAAGAUAAAAGCAACGGCGCAAGAUGAGAAGUUACACUGGCAUGAAAUUUUAGAAAGAAAGGAACUGAAAUGAAUCAGAAACGUAGAUAUAAAAGCAUUUAACCACAAAACUAAAAAGCUUCCCAUCAAGUUGAAAGUUCUUUAGGACAAGUGAAAUAAUGCAAAAUUAAACGGGCAUGUCAUUUUAUGAUGAAAGGAUAUAAAAUGAACCAUAAAUCAUUUAACCAAGAAACUAAAAAGCUUCCGACCAGUUGUACAAAGUUGUAAGUUCCUUAGGACAAAUGAAAAAUUAAACUGGGCUGUUAUUUUAUGAGGAAAGGAAAUGAAAUUAACCAGAAAUGUAAAUACUAAAGCAUUGGACUAAGAAAUUAAGAAGCUUUCCUCCAAGUUGUAAGUUUAGUAGUAUUGAAAAUACUACUACUAGAGCAACAGUUUUGGUAAAAGUUAAUACAAGAAAUUGUAUUAAGUAUACAGGUAUUUGGAUCAUUUAUUCGGAAAGCACUCAUCGAGUCUUAUUUUCUUCAGGCACUCGAACCAAUUGAUUGUAUCAAUCUACUAGCACACCAAAAUAAUUGAGAGAUCUCGGAUUCGAACUCUUAGAACAUUAAUAAAGUCUAUUCUCAUUUGUAUAUUAACAUAAGCACGAGCUGCUGCGCCAGUUGUUGACUUUCAUAAGUAAUUUUUUAUGUAUUUAGAAUGUAAUUUGUAAUAGUGUAAUUUAGUCCUUCGACAGUAUAUAUCAACUUGAGUACAUGUUCAAUUGUCUCAACUAAGGUUUAUAACCUGCUGCUCUUUGAACAUUGGAGUUGAUGAAUUGACAAUUAUAACAAGGAUCUAAAGGCUGAAUUUAAUUGUUAAAGGUUAUCCGUUACAGUUAUGGUUGAUUGUUCUCUUAUGUGUCAGUUGGAUAUAAGAUAUGUUCUAUUCACAAUAACAAGGAUUCAGGAGGUCCUUUUUAAUGCCAUUUUGAUUUGACAUGCGACACUCAUUAUUUCUUUGUGUGCAGUAAUUUUACCUCUUUUAUUCUAUUUACUAUGUUUAUUAAUGAUUUGGAAAUACCUCUUUUCAAUUUCGGUUUGGAAACGUUAGUACUGGGGUGUUUAAUCGAUCGUCUCUGGA